CUGCGAGGCCCCUGGAGCAGCAGCGCCGUGGUCAGAGCGAGCUUCGAGAAGCGGUGGUGGGUUCCAUGUGAUGGUGGAGUAGGAGGCAGGUCUCCGCGCUAAGUGGCGGGGGCGUGGACCCCACCGGGAACCCUCCCAGCUCCUUCCCUGCCUCUCCCUGUUUUCGUGCCGUCACUUCUUCGUGGGCAUCUGGGCCUGAGUCCUCUGCGUGGGGGCGGUUGUGGGGUCCUGGCUACUGCAGCGUCCGCACCCCGGCCGGGAAGGCUAUGCCAAUGUCCGACCCGCGUCCAGCGUAAAGGAGCGCCUUGGCCUAGAGCUGGCGGUGAAAUGCGGGACCUGGGUCCCUCCGAGCCCCAGGGGCCUCUGAGCUGGAGUCUAGGAUUAUUUUUGAUGCCUCAGCACCUUUAGAAAGAGACCUCGCUAGAGCAAGGGACAUCUGUAGUUUCAGUUCUUUGAGGAGUCUCCAGCUAUUUAGCUGUUUUCCAUGGUUCAUCUGUGUUGCUCUAAAUGACACUGUUUCAUUAUUUUGUUGGCUGAAGAAUAUUUCCUAGUGUAUGUAUAUGAGAGUUUCUUGAUCUCUUUAUCUGUGGAUGAACAGCUACUUUGAAACAUAUGAUACAUUUGUGUUAAGGCUGGUCACCCUGCUGUGGAAUAGAAGACCAGAAUUGAUCACUCUCAUCUGAGAGUAACUUUGUACCCCAUCACUGAUUCCUUCUGAGACCGCCUCCACUUCCCCAGCAGCCUCUGGUUUCUUCAUGUGGCUGCAGAUGGCAGGAUUUCCCAAAGGUUUAUGGCUGAAACAUAUUCCGUGGUGUACCUGUAUAGCAGUUUCCUCAUCCCUGCAGCUGUGUUUGAACAGGUCAUUUACCAUGCUGUCCUCCAGGUUCAACAGUAUGGCCCCAAAUGAUGAAAUUUCAUUUUGAUUUUCUGGCUGAAGACUAUUCUGUUUGUGUGCGUCCCCCACAGUUACUUUAUCCCUUCAUCUGUGGAUGGGCAGAUGACAAGAACUUUUAUGUAAAAAACUCCAAACAUUCCACAAAAAACUCUGAGAACUACUAAAUCAACUCAGUUAAGCUGCAAAGUAUAAACUCAACAUAUAAAAAUCAGUUGCAUUUCUAUAUACAAAUAACCUAGCUGACAAAGAAAUCAAGAAAACAACCUCAUUUACAAUAGCAUCAAAGAAAAACAUAUACUUAGGAAUGAAUUUAAACAAGAAGAUGGAAGAUGUGUACACUUGAAAACCAUAAAACAUUGAUGAAAUUAAUUUAGACAUGAACAAAUGAAAAGAUAUCCUAUGUUUAUGGAUCAGAAGAAUUAAUAUUGUUAAAAUGUUCACACUCCCCAAAGCAAAUAUACAGAUUUAGCACAAUCCUCAUCAAAGUUCUGACAGCAUUCUUCACAGAACAGAGAAAAACAAUGCUGGCCAGACGUUGUGGUUCAUGCCUGUAAUCCCAGCACCUUGGGAGGCCAAGGCAGGUGGAUCACGAGGUCAGGAGUUGGAGACCAGCCUGGCCAACAUAGUGAAACCCUGUCUCUACUAAAACUACAAAAAUUAGCCAGAUAUAGUGGCAUGUGCCUGUAGUCCCAGCUACUCGGGGGCUGAGGCAGGAGAAUUGCUUGAAUCUGGGAAGUGGAGGUUGCAGUGAGCCAAGAUUGUGCCACUGCACUCCAACUUGGGCAACAGAGUGAGACUUCAUCUCAAAAAAACAAAAACAAAACCAAAAUCCUGAAACUCAUAUGGAACCACAAAAAACCCCAAACAGCCAACAGAUUACUGUUGAAAGAAAAAGUUGGAGGCAUCACACCUCUUGAUUUAAAAUUGUACUACAAAGCUCUAUAGUAAUCAAAACAGUAUGAUACUGGCUUAAAAACAAAAAAUAUAAACCAAUGGAACGGAACAGAGACCUUUGAAAAAAUUCCAAACAUAUACUGUCAACUAAUUUUUGACAAGGGCAAACAAGACAACACAAUGGAAAGAAAAAUAGUCUCUUCAAUAAUAGUGCUGGGAAAACUGGAUUUUCACAUGCAAAAGAAUAAAAAUGGACCCUGAUCAUACACCAUACACAAAAAUCAUCUCAAAACAGAUACAAGACCCAAGACCCAAAUAAAACCUGAAACCGUAAAACUCCUAGAAGAGAACAUACAGGGAAAGCCUCUUGACAUUGGCCUUAGCAAUUAUUUUUUGGAUAUCGCACUACAAGCCAGACUACAAAUGGAAACAUAAACAAGGAGGACUGCAUCAAACUAAAAAGCUUCUGCACAGCAAAGGAAACAACGAACAAAAUGAAAAGAGAACCUACAAACUGGAAGAAAUAUUUGCAGAUCACAUAUCUGAUAAAGUGUUAAUGUCCAAAAAUCAGUAAAGAACUCUUUUAAUAACAGAAAAACAACCCAGUUGAAAAAUGAGCCAAAUAGGAAAUGACCAAUAGCAAAUGGGGAGACGUACAUUAAAAAAAUACAAAGUAGCAGACAUAGAGGAUGAUCAAGUUAGAGAUCUGAUGUACAUCAUGAGGGCUAUAGUUAAUAAAAAUGUAUUGUCUUUGGGAUUUUGUUAAAUAAGUAGAUUUUAGCUGUUCCUGUCACACACAAAAAAUGUAACUAUGUGAGAUGGUAGAUAUGUUAAUUUGCUUCACUAUAGUAACCAGUUUACUGUCUGUAUGUAUCCUUAAGGUCAUGUGGUCAACCUCAAAUAUAUAAAAUAAAAUUUAAAGAAGAAAA